ensembl:lncRNA FHL1P1 FHL1 pseudogene 1
GAAUAGGACAAAGAUUCUAAGAAGGUGGGAAGGAAGAAGGCUGCAGUCUAUUUCAAGUCUGGUGAAUUUCAAUCACUGUAGCCUUUAUUGUUAUUUUAGAGCCACCUAGACCAAAAGAGAAGGAGCUCAAAUUGCUGGAGGGGAUUUAGUGGCAGGAGGACAAAGUCAGAAGAGAAAUUUUUCACAGUAUAUCUUCUUGAGCCAUGUGACCAUAUGCUCUAAUUUUUUUAACUAUAAAAUUUAAAUUAAAAAAACCACAAAAAUUCGACGCAAGAGCAGCAGCCACAGUGGCUGAAGAUGAGAGGACUCCUGUGCCAGCCAAGGUGGAAGCAGAAAUUACUCCCCAGUCUCCACUGACUACAGGAACAGGAGGGCCACACACCCAUUUGGUGGCCAUAACAUUGAAAGCUGGGACAGCAGGACUGGUCUGGACCUGAGGCGUAAAAGACAACACUUGCAGCCAGCCCUGGUACUUGCAUAGUGGCAAAAUGUCCCAAGCUGGAGGAAAUGGAUAAGAAUUGGGUACACAUCACCCGUACUGGGAAUAAACAAAUGUGUUCUGAUUAUUUGGAAAAAGCAGACAUUCUAGGGGUAGGGAGUUCUAAAGCCUUGGUGCACUUGAAUGGAUAAACUUCCCAGGAGCAGAGUUUUCCAAGCAUGGCUCCCUGUGGUUCACCUCUACCAAGCUUAACCUACCUUCUGCUUAGGCAGAGCGAAGAGGCACCUCAGCAUAACUCAGAUCAAAAUGGAAGCAUCUCAUUUCUUAAAAGCUGUCAAAGAAUUGGUGUGAGGUUUAAAAACGUCUCUGAGCUUGAUGGAAGGAAGGUGAAAGAAGACUGCAGCUGAGUUCUAUUAUCAAAGCAAAGUGCUGUACUGUACUUGAAAUAACUCUAGCAAAUACUGUGCUUCCUGCACAGAACCUGUUGGAUUACUCACACAAAUGUCAAAGAACAGGUUGACAUUUUAGCAAGUUAUCAGCCUGGCCCAUAUAAAAAAAGACAUUUCUAGUUUUUACACUUUGCAGGGUUCAGAGAGCAGUUGAAU